CACCACGUGUGGCAUCAGCCUUAGACCCAAGUUCUAGGUUCAAAAUCUAUAGCAGAGGUAUCAACUGUGGCAAUGGCCUCCUGGGGGAAACAGAGGAAGUGCGGACUCCUAAAUGACAGUUAGGGAAAUAUAUGGGAAGAAUGCCCGUUUGUUCUCCUUGAUACAUCUGAAACAUUAUCUUGAAGAUCAAGUAGGGUGAGAUUUGGGGGGAAGACAUAUUUGCUAUUGAUUGACCAAUCACUGAUUAUUGUUUUCCUUUAUCAGCCUAAAAUUAUCUCAUAUGAUAUGGCUGCUUGACACGGUGUGCUCCCCCCACAAUGCCAUUAUGUACGCAGGUGUUCCUUCAUGUGCAUGCAGGAGGGGGGUGGGAGGAGGUGAGGUGGCCGUCUGGGUUACCUAGGGUGCCAAGUUGGCAUGGCUUGCCACUGCAUAGGAGAUUUUGAUCAAAUUUUUUAGGUCAGACUUUAUCUGAGCCACAAAAUCUUGUCAGGCAACAGUACACAACAGCCCAAGAUUUCUUAGGAUCCUACAAAAUCUGAUCCCCCCUUCUGUAAUAUAAGUUGGAUCAGAUAAGGUUGGAUGCAGGGCUGUAUUUAGGUGCAGUGCAGCCCUAAGCACUGGUUCUAAUAUGCCCCUCGACGGUGCGUAUGUGACAUCACACACAGCAGGCACAAUAUGUCACAUGCACUUAUGUUACAGAACUGACGUUACUUCUUCAGCGCAACCUGACCCACCCCCAGAUACAUAACCGGAGCUCUCUGGUGCCUCUAUAAAUACAGCCCUGGUUGGAUGGUGAAUUUAGUUCCUGCAUCAGUCAGUGUAUUUCAGUGAGAUAAAAAAGCCUGUCAGACACCAUCAGAUUUUAUUUUGUCUGAUGAAGACACAGCAUGCAGCGUUCCUAUUCCACGGGCAUGUCGUGUAAUUGACACAUCAGAUUCUUCUAUCAGUCUUGUUAUAUUUUGACCCCUGCAACUACAUCCUACUUGUACGAUGCAUUCUGUCGAUCCUACAAAAUCUCUCGUGUAGCUAAGAUGGAAGUACAAUUCACUCCCACAGGACUCUUACUGGAUAGAUCAUGUGGGAAAAAAACACAUUUUGGGUUUUCAAAUAAUUUCUAAAAAUUGUAAAAUGACAUAGGAGCAUGGGGCUUUUAGUAUAUUCUGUGGAUAGUUUAUUUUUUGGAGAAUUUCAUAUUCUUUCAAGGAUGAAUAUGUCCUGAGGAGAAUCAUUGCUUAUUGCAAGACUAUUGCUCUACUGAGGAGCCAAAUAAGAACAGUCACAAACUAUUGGCAAAUGUAUGUCACCUGAAUAAAGCCUGAAUAGAGCAUGCCAAUUCUAAGUUUGCCACCUUCCGACUCUUUCCAGCAUUCAAAUGGGGAUAUGCUUCAGUGUGCAGCUUUGCUUUUAAGAAUCCAUAUCUGACCUUGCUGAGUUACUGGUCCCAGCAUGAGUUAACCCUUUCUAAUACAGUGGAAGUUGUAGCCCAGCAACACUUUGAAAGGUUUGUGUCCCCUUUUACACACUGUUCCUUAUGCUGCUUUAAUAAACUUGUAU